rnacentral:rRNA from 1 species
UACGUAGGGCGCAAGCGUUGUCCGGAAUUAUUGGGCGUAAAGAGCUCGUAGGCGGUCUGUCGCGUCUGCCGUGAAAACCCGAGGCUUAACCUCGGGCUGGCGGUGGAUACGGGCAGACUAGAGGUAGGUAGGGGAGAAUGGAAUUCCCGGUGUAGCGGUGAAAUGCGCAGAUAUCGGGAGGAACACCGGUGGCGAAGGCGGCGUUCUGGACUGCAACUGACACUGAGGAACGAAAGCCAGGGGAGCAAACGGG